rnacentral:rRNA from 1 species
UACGGGGGGGGCAAGCGUUGUUCGGAAUUACUGGGCGUAAAGGGCUCGUAGGUGGCCAACUAAGUCAGACGUGAAAUCCCUCAGCUUAACUGGGGAACUGCGUCUGAUACUGGAUGGCUUGAGUUUGGGAGAGGGAUGCGGAAUUCCAGGUGUGGCGGUGAAAUGCGUAGAUAUCUGGAGGAACACCGGUGGCGAAGGCGGCAUCCUGGACCAAUACUGACACUGAGAAGCGAAAGCCAGGGGAGCAAACGGG